UUGAUGCUCCAGUCCUAAUGUAGUGAUGGAAGAUUAACUUCCUCCUUUUCUUUUGAGUUCUAACUCUUCUGAUAAAAUAUUCAUGGCAGUUCUUCUUUUGUAGAUCACCUUUAAAGCUCCUCAAGCUGGAGUAUAUGUGCCUCUGAUGAUUCAUGGGAUUUUUUUAAUUUUCAAAGUUGUGUCCGCUACUUUUGGCUCUUCUCCUGGGAAUAUGCAUCCAGGCUGCCUUAAAGUUAGCAGAACUCAAGAAGAAAACUUGAAGCAGAGACUGUAACAAAACAAGUGGUAAGGAACAACUGUAUUUUCCUUGAUGGUAUCGAAAAACCGUAGUACUUAACUCCAACAGUUGUGAGGAUGUCUCCUCUUAAUUGUGUGAAGAAUCGGUGUCCUGGUCCUUUCAGCUGAUUUUCUUUUGGAUGAGAUCUGGCUUCCCCCACAGGACUUACACCGGUCUCAACUCUGCCCCUGACCACAGCAGCUCCUUAGCAUUACUGCUCUCCUUCAGCAGCAGACAGAUAUGUCACCAGGACACCUCAUUCAAACAAAGUCUGCCUUUGCAAAA